UCAGACGAUGCGUCAUGCAUAUCAAUAAGCGGAGGAAAAGAAACUAACAAGGAUUCCCCUAGUAACGGCGAGUGAAGCGGGAAGAGCUCAAAUUUGAAAUCUUAAAGGGUUUCCCUUUACGAAUUGUAGUUUAAAGAAGUGUUUUCUGUUGAGGUUUUGGUAAAAGUUCUUCGGAAUAGGACAUCAUAGAGGGUGAGAAUCCCGUAUUUGACCUUUACUUUCAACUUUGUGAUACACUUUCAAAGAGUCGGAUUGUUUGGGAAUGCAGUCCAAAAUGGGUGGUAAAUUUCAUCUAAAGCUAAAUAUUGGCGAGAGACCGAUAGCGAACAAGUACCGUGAGGGAAAGAUGAAAAGGACUUUGAAAAGAGAGUUAAACAGUACGUGAAAUUGUCAAAAGGGAAGCGUUUGACACCAGUGUUGUUUUUCUGAAAAUCAAUUAAAGAACUGUUUAUGCUAAGCUGUUUAGACUUUAUCAGCUAUCUGUUUAGUUUUGAGCUUUUCUUUAAUGCACUUUUCAGUUAACAAGUCAACAUCAAUUUCUUUUGCUGUAAAAAAGCUUGAGGAAGGUGGCUUGAGAUUCGUCUUAAGUGUUUAUAGCCUCUUGCCUAUGCAGUCGGAGAGAUUGAGGUCUGCAGCGUAGAUCCUUCGGGGCUAAAUGCAUUUGUGCUAAGUUAUAGCAUUUCAUAGACAACUUGUUGACUAUGAUUUGUCUUGUAGCUUACUCGCUUAUGUUAUUUUACCUACGCUUAGGAUGUUGAAUCUGUGCGAGACUAC
rnacentral:rRNA from 1 species